UGGGGAAUAUUGCACAAUGGGCGAAAGCCUGAUGCAGCAAUGCCGCGUGAGCGAAGAAGGCCUUCGGGUCGUAAAGCUCUGUCCUCAAGGAAGAUAAUGACGGUACUUGAGGAGGAAGCCCCGGCUAACUACGUGCCAGCAGCCGCGGUAAUACGUAGGGGGCAAGCGUUAUCCGGAUUUACUGGGCGUAAAGGGUGCGUAGGCGGUCUUACAAGUCAGGAGUGAAAGGCUACGGCUCAACCGUAGUAAGCUCUUGAAACUGUUAGACUUGAGUGCAGGAGAGGAGAGUGGAAUUCCUAGUGUAGCGGUGAAAUGCGUAGAUAUUAGGAGGAACACCAGUUGCGAAGGCGGCUCUCUGGACUGUAACUGACGCUGAGGCACGAAAGCGUGGGGAGCAAACA
rnacentral:rRNA from 1 species